GACGAACGCUGGCGGCGUGCCUAAUACAUGCAAGUCGAGCGGACUUUCAAGAAGCUUGCUUUUUGAAAGUUAGCGGCGGACGGGUGAGUAACACGUGGGCAACCUGCCUGUAAGACGGGGAUAACUCCGGGAAACCGGGGCUAAUACCGGAUAAUAUCUUUCUUCGCAUGAAGGAAGGUUGAAAGGCGGCGCAAGCUGCCGCUUGCAGAUGGGCCCGCGGCGCAUUAGCUAGUUGGUGAGGUAACGGCUCACCAAGGCGACGAUGCGUAGCCGACCUGAGAGGGGGAUCGGCAUCACUGGGACGGGGACACGGCCCAGACACCUACGGGAGGCAGCAGUAGGGAAUCUUCCGCAAUGGACGAAAGUCUGACGGAGCAACGCCGCGUGAGCGAAGAAGGGCUUCGGAUCGUAAAGCUCUGUUGUCAGGGAAGAACAAGUACCGUUCGAAUAGGGCGGUACCUUGACGGUACCUGACCAGAAAGCCACGGCUAACUACGUGCCAGCAGCCGCGGUAA
rnacentral:rRNA from 1 species